rnacentral:rRNA from 1 species
ACUCCUACGGGAGGCAGCAGUGGGGAAUAUUGCACAAUGGGGGAAACCCUGAUGCAGCCAUGCCGCGUGUGUGAAGAAGGCCUUGGGUUGUAAAGCACUUUCAGUAGGGAGGAAGGUAGUGUAGUUAACACCUGCACUAUUUGACGUUACCUACAGAAGAAGCACCGGCUAACUCCGUGCCAGCAGCCGCGGUAAGUACGGAGGGUGCGAGCGUUAAUCGGAAUUACGUGGGCGUAAAGCGCAUGCAGGCGGCCUGUUAAGUCAGAUGUGAAAGCCCGGGGUCUUAACCUCGGAAUUGCAUUUGAAACUGGCAGGCUAGAGUCUUGGUAGAGGGGGUUAGAAUUUCGAGGUGUAGCGGUGAAAUGCGUAGAGAUCUGAAGGAAUACCGAGUGGCGAACGGCGGCCCCUGGACAAAGACUGACGCUCAGAUGCGAAAGGCGUGGGAGCAAACGAGGAUUAGAUACCCCGUGGUAGCGACUGA